CUUAGGGUGAAAUGGAAAUAUUGCUAACAAACACCAAUGCUUAGAUUUGUCAGACUGCAGACAGUAAUGAAGAUGUUUUGGUUGUGGAUCACAAAGUGUCCCUUUAAAGAGACCUUUCACUAGUGAGAUGUGCGCACAAUUGAAUAUCUAAAUGAACGUUAGCUAUAGGUUGUGUUAUUAAUUUUUAUAGCUUGCACGUCUGUGUAGAAGUGGUAAU